AUUGCAUUUAAUUCACUUCAACGCAAAUUAAAUAUGGAUCUACUUAAAUCUACCCAAAAAGGAAAGUAUCAAAACCCCACAAAUAGAAUCAGAAAAGAAAAAUGUAAAUUUCUCUCAGAUCAGAAACAUGGACGAAAAUUCUGGUGUUAAAAGAAGGAUUUGACAUCAAAUCAAUUUAGAUGCAAUUGCCCUAAAUGUGCACUUUAGGAAAUAGGCAG
rnacentral:lncRNA from 1 species